AGCGAACGCUGGCGGCGUGGUUUAGACAUGCAAGUCGAGCGGAAAGGCCCUUCGGGGCACUCGAGCGGCGAACGGGGGAGUAAUACCUGGGUAACCAUCCCCGGAGACGGGAAUAGCCACUGGAAACGGUGGGUAAUGCCCGAUAGCCCCCGCGGGCCGCAGGGCCGUGCGGAAGGUAAAAGGUAGACUCCGCCGUCCGGGA
rnacentral:rRNA from 1 species